rnacentral:misc_RNA from 1 species
CCGAGUUUACAACUCCCAAACCCAAUGUGAACGUUACCAAACUGUUGCCUCGGCGGGAUCUCUGCCCCGGGUCGCGUCGCAGCCCCGGACCAAGGCGCCCGCCGGAGGACCAACCAAAACUCUUAUUGUAUACCCCCUCGCGGGUUUUUUUAUAAUCUGAGCCUUCUCGGCGCCUCUCGUAGGCGUUUCGAAAAUGAAUCA